UACGGGGGGGGCAAGCGUUGUUCGGAAUUACUGGGCGUAAAGGGCGCGUAGGCGGCCUGCUAAGUCGGAUGUGAAAUCCCUCGGCUCAACCGAGGAACUGCAUCCGAUACUGGUGGGCUCGAAUCCGGGAGAGGGAUGUGGAAUUCCAGGUGUAGCGGUGAAAUGCGUAGAUAUCGGGAGGAACACCUAUGGCGAAGGCAGCUCGCUGGGACGUUACUGACGCUGAGACGCGAAAGCGUGGGGAGCAAACAGG
rnacentral:rRNA from 1 species